rnacentral:rRNA from 1 species
GGAUUAGAUACCCUGGUAGUCCACGCCGUAAACGGUGGGUACUAGGUGUGGGACUCUUUUCACGGGUUCCGUGCCGUAGCUAACGCAUUAAGUACCCCGCCUGGGGAGUACGGCCGCAAGGCUAAAACUCAAAGGAAUUGACGGGGGCCCGCACAAGCGGCGGAGCAUGUGGAUUAAUUCGAUGCAACGCGAAGAACCUUACCUGGGUUUGACAUCUACCGGAUCGCUCCAGAGAUGGGGCUUCCCUUGUGGCUGGUAGACAGGUGGUGCAUGGCUGUCGUCAGCUCGUGCCG